UACGUAGGGUGCAAGCGUUAAUCGGAAUUACUGGGCGUAAAGCGUGCGCAGGCGGUUUUGUAAGUCUGUCGUGAAAUCCCCGGGCUCAACCUGGGAAUUGCGAUGGAGACUGCAAGGCUAGAAUCUGGCAGAGGGGGGGUAGAAUUCCACGUGUAGCAGUGAAAUGCGUAGAGAUGUGGAGGAACACCGAUGGCGAAGGCAGCCCCCUGGGUCAAGAUUGACGCUCAUGCACGAAAGGCGUGGGGAGCAAACGAGG
rnacentral:rRNA from 1 species